rnacentral:misc_RNA from 1 species
AUGAUUUUUUAUUAUUUGUGAACGUACUACGAACAAACAAAAAAUAUUAUAGUCAAAAAAAUUAAAUCAAAACUUUUAACAAUGGAUCUCUUGGUUCUCGUAUCGAUGAAGAACGCAGCGAAACGCGAUAUUUCUUGUGAAUUGCAGCAGUGAAUCAUCAGUUUUUGAACGCACAUUGCACUUUGGGGUAUCCCCCAAAGUAUACUUGUUUGAGCGUUGUUUCUCUCUUGGAAUUGCAUUUGCUUUUCUAAAAAAUCGAAUCAAAUUCGUUUGAAACUUCAUUUAUUUCAACCUCAGAUCAAGUAGGAUUACCCGCUGAACUUAAGCAUAUCAAUAAGCGGAGGAAUCGUACGCUUGGUCAUUUAGAGGAAGUAAAAGUCGUAACAAGGUUUCCGUAGGUGAACCUGCGGAAGGAUCAUUACAAGAAGAGACCCUAACCGGUCCUCUCAACCCUGCCCAUCGUACCUUUUUUGUUGUUCCCUCGGCGGUGCUCGCGGGCCCGCCGGCGGGAAGACCAAACAAACCCUUUGCAAACAAGCAUAUCGAAUCUCUGAUCAAACAUGAAUUGUCA